rnacentral:rRNA from 1 species
AAUGACUCUCGGCAAUGGAUAUCUCGGCUCUUGCAUCGAUGAAGAACGUAGUGAAAUGCGAUACUUGGUGUGAAUUGCAGAAUCUCGUGAACCAUUGAGUCUUUGAACGCAAGUUGUGCCCGAGGCCUUGUGGCCGAGGGCACGCCUGCUUGGGCGUCAUGGA